CGGUUGAUCCUGCCGGAGGCCGCUGCUAUCCGGCUGGGACUAAGCCAUGCGAGUCAAGGGGCUUGUAUCCCUUCGGGGAUACAAGCACCGGCGGACGGCUCAGUAACACGUGGACAACCUGCCCUCGGGUGGGGGAUAACCCCGGGAAACUGGGGCUAAUACCCCAUAGGGGAUGGGUACUGGAAUGUCCCAUCUCCGAAAGCGCUUAGCGCCCGAGGAUGGGUCUGCGGCGGAUUAGGUAGUUGGCGGGGUAACGGCCCGCCAAGCCGAAGAUCCGUACGGGCCAUGGGAGUGGGAGCCCGGAGAUGGACCCUGAGACACGGGUCCAGGCCCUACGGGGCGCAGCAGGCGCGAAACCUCCGCAAUGCGGGAAACCGCGACGGGGUCAGCCGGAGUGCUCGCGCAUCGCGCGGGCUGUCGGGGUGCCUAAAAAGCACCCCAUAGCAAGGGCCGGGCAAGGCCGGUGGCAGCCGCCGCGGUAAUACCGGCGGCCCGAGUGGCGGCCACUUUUAUUGGGCCUAAAGCGUCCGUAGCCGGGCUGGUAAGUCCUCCGGGAAAUCUGGCGGCUUAACCGUCAGACUGCCGGAGGAUACUGCCAGCCUAGGGACCGGGAAGGCCGGGGGUAUUCCCGGGGUAGGGGUGAAAU
rnacentral:rRNA from 1 species